rnacentral:rRNA from 1 species
GUGAGGAAUAUUGCGCAAUGGAGGCAACUCUGACGCAGCCAUGCCGCGUGCAGGAAGAAGGCGCUACGCGUUGUCAACUGCUUUUAACCGGGAAGAAACCCCAGGACGUGUCCUGGGUUGACGGUACCGGAGGAAUAAGCACCGGCUAACUUCGUGCCAGCAGCCGCGGUAAUACGAAGGGUGCAAGCGUUAUCCGGAUUCAUUGGGUUUAAAGGGUGCGUAGGCGGAGCGUUAAGUCAGUGGUGAAAUCCUGCAGCUUAACUGUAGACUUGCCAUUGAUACUGGCGCUCUUGAGUGCGCUUGAAGUGGGCGGAAUGUGCCGUGUAGCGGUGAAAUGCUUAGAUAUGGCACAGAACACCAAUUGCGAAGGCAGCUCACUAAGGCGAUACUGACGCUGAGGCACGAAAGCGUGGGGAUCGAACAGGAUUAGAUACCCUAGUAGUCC